rnacentral:rRNA from 1 species
GACGAACGCUGGCGGCGCGCUUAACACAUGCAAGUCGAACGGAAAGGCCUGCUUUCCCUUGUGGAUUGCGGGUACUCGAGUGGCUAACGGGUGAGUAACACGUGAGUGAUCUGCCCCCAACUUGGGUAUAAGCCUGGGAAACUGGGUCUAAUUCCCGAUAGGACUGCAGGGUGGUGCCUGUGGUGAAAUACGAUUUUCUAGUGGUUGGGGAUGAGCUCGCGGCCCAUCAGCUUGUGGGUGGGGUAAGGGCCUACCAAGGCGGCGACGGGUAGCCGGCCUGAGAGGGUGGACGGUCACAUUGGGACUGAGAUACGACCCAGACGACUGCGAGAGGCCGCAGUGGGGAGUAUUGGACCAUGGGCGGAAGCCUGAUGCAGCGACGCCGCGUGGGGGAUGUCGGCCUGCGGGUUGUAAACUCCUUUCGAACGCGAGGAAGCCACCUGGGUGUAAAGGUGGUGACGGUAGUGGUAGAAGAAGCCACGGCUAACUACGUG